rnacentral:lncRNA from 1 species
ACAGGUUCUCCUUGCUGCUGGAGCUGACCCAAACCUUGGGGACGACUUCAGCAGUGUCUACAAGACUGCCAAUGAACAGGGAGUCCAUUCUUUGGAAGCUCUCAGAGUGGUGUCUUCAGAGUCAUAAUGGUGCCUUGGAAAAAAACUCAGGAGAUAACUGCCAGGAAACCAUGGUUCCUCUAAGUCCCGUCACUGACUGGCAAGUGACAUAAAGUUCUGACUUCCAGACUCUCUGUAAUACAGGGAUAACAAUACCCAUGUUAUAGGACUGUUAGACUAAAUACCAAUAAACAUAUGGAUCUAAAACUCAG